CGGGGGGCUGCGGGGCGCGGGGCCGUCGGGGCCGUACGGGGGGUCGGCGACGCGAGUCCGGGCACAGCCGUCGUGGCGCACGGAGAGCAGCGGGGCGGAGCUCCUCCCGUCCGCCGCCGCCGUUCCGACGUUGACCCUCCGGAGGGACGAACUCCGUUUGAGGGCCGAAGCCCCGACGUUCGCCGGGUGCCCCCCGUCCCGCAGCGCCAAACGGCUCAGCGCCGCCGCCGCGUCUUCGCCGCUCACGUCCCCGAUGCUGACGGAUUUGGAGCGGCUCAAAUUGCUCCUCCUCCUUUCGGUUCCGACGGGGAAAGGGAACGACGCGACGCCCGGCGCCGCGCCCGCCUGCGGGGAACCGGGAACCCGCACCCCGUGGUCCGCUUUCAGGGGUCCCCGUCGGCACGCGGAGCCCCUUUUGGCCGCCCGGCCGCGCUCCGGGUCCGACUUCUUGGGCCGCUCUUCCAACGUUGCGGGUCUGGGGGGGAGGAGGCGAAGUUUCGGGGCCGGGGAGAGCCCUCCGGGGGCGGCGCUGAAGGGGUGGCGCUCCUGGCUCACGGCCCGGCCCGGCAGCUUGGAGGCGGCUUUGGGUUGAGCGGCGACGACGGUCGGGUCCCGGGCGCGGCCCAAACGGUGCUCCGACGUCUGAGGCAUCGCCGGGAGGAGCCUCCCGCGGGCCGCCAUGGCAACAACUCCCGCAGCGCCCGCCGCCAU
rnacentral:lncRNA from 1 species